AAUCACUUGUUCUUUAAAUGAGGACUAGUAUGAAUGGCACCACGAGGGUCGCACUGUCUCCUUCCCCUAAUCAAUGAAACUAAUCUUCCCGUGAAGAAGCGGGAAUUUAUCUAUAAGACGAGAAGACCCUAUGGAGCUUUAAAUUUCUCUUCAAACGCCAGACAUAAACCCUAAACAUCUUACACCAACCCGGCGCCAUGAAGAUGAAUUUUAGGUUGGGGUGACCACGGAGAACAAGACAACCUCCACGCUGAAUAGGCCUAAAACCUUGAACUAAGGACCACAGCCCGACGAAC
rnacentral:rRNA from 1 species